rnacentral:rRNA from 1 species
GACGAACGCUGGCGGCGUGCUUAACACAUGCAAGUCGAACGGAAAGGCCUGCAGCUUGCUGCGGGUACUCGAGUGGCGAACGGGUGAGUAACACGUGGGUGAUCUGCCUUGCACUUCGGGAUAAGCUUGGGAAACUGGGUCUAAUACCGGAUAGGACAGCUGUUUAGUGUCAGUUGUGGAAAGUUUUUUCGGUGCAAGAUGAGCUCGCGGCCUAUCAGCUUGUUGGUGGGGUAAUGGCCUACCAAGGCGUCGACGGGUAGCCGGCCUGAGAGGGUGUACGGCCACAUUGGGACUGAGAUACGGCCCAGACUCCUACGGGAGGCAGCAGUGGGGAAUAUUGCACAAUGGGCGGAAGCCUGAUGCAGCGACGCCGCGUGGGGGAUGAAGGCCUUCGGGUUGUAAACUCCUUUCGACAGGGACGAAGCGUAAGUGACGGUACCUGUAUAAGAAGCACCGGCUAACUACGUGCCAGCAGCCGCGGUAAUACGUAGGGUGCGAGCGUUGUCCGGAAUUACUGGGCGUAAAGAGCUCGUAGGUGGUUUGUCGCGUCGUCUGUGAAAUUCCGGGGCUUAACUCCGGGCGUGCAGGCGAUACGGGCUGACUUGAGUGCUGUAGGGGAGACUGGAAUUCCUGGUGUAGCGGUGAAAUGCGCAGAUAUCAGGAGGAACACCGAUGGCGAAGGCAGGUCUCUGGGCAGUAACUGACGCUGAGGAGCGAAAGCAUGGGUAGCGAACAGG